AUUGAACGCUGGCGGCAUGCCUUACACAUGCAAGUCGAACGGUAACAGCACUUCGGUGGCUGACGAGUGGCGAACGGGUGAGUAAUACAUCGGAACGUGCCCGAGAGUGGGGGAUAACGCAGCGAAAGCUGUGCUAAUACCGCAUACGAUCUACGGAUGAAAGCAGGGGACCGCAAGGCCUUGCGCUCACGGAGCGGCCGAUGGCGGAUUAGGUAGUUGGUGGGAUAAAAGCUUACCAAGCCGACGAUCUGUAGCUGGUCUGAGAGGACGACCAGCCACACUAGGACUGAGACACGGCCCAGACUCCUACGGGAGGCAGCAGUGGGGAAUUUUGGACAAUGGGCGAAAGCCUGAUCCAGCCAUGCCGCGUGCAGGAUGAAGGCCUUCGGGUUGUAAACUGCUUUUGUACGGAACGAAAAGGUCUUUUCUAAUAAAGAAGGCUCAUGACGGUACCGUAAGAAUAAGCACCGGCUAACUACGUGCCAGCAGCCGCGGUAAUACGUAGGGUGCAAGCGUUAAUCGGAAUUACUGGGCGUAAAGCGUGCGCAGGCGGUUAUAUAAGACAGAUGUGAAAUCCCCGGGCUCAACCUGGGAACUGCAUUAGUGACUGUAUAGCUAGAGUGCGGCAGAGGGGGAUGGAAUUCCGCGUGUAGCAGUGAAAUGCGUAGAUAUGCGGAGGAACACCGAUGGCGAAGGCAAUCCCCUGGGCCUGCACUGACGCUCAUGCACGAAAGCGUGGGGAGCAAACAGGAUUAGAUACCCUGGUAGUCCACGCCCUAAACGAUGUCAACUGGUUGUUGGGAAUUUACUUUCUCAGUAACGAAGCUAACGCGUGAAGUUGACCGCCUGGGGAGUACGGCCGCAAGGUUAAAACUCAAAGGAAUCGACGGGGACCCGCACAAGCGGUGGAUGAUGUGGUUUAAUUCGAUGCAACGCGAAAAACCUUACCCACCUUUGACAUGUAUGGAAGAUCGCAGAGACGCGAUUGUGCUCGAAAGAGAGCCAUAACACAGGUGCUGCAUGGCUGUCGUCAGCUCGUGUCGUGAGAUG
rnacentral:rRNA from 1 species